rnacentral:rRNA from 1 species
AGUGAACGCUGGCGGUAGGCCUAACACAUGCAAGUCGAACGGCAGCACAGUAAGAGCUUGCUCUUACGGGUGGCGAGUGGCGGACGGGUGAGGAAUACAUCGGAGUCUACUUUUUCGUGGGGGAUAACGUAGGGAAACUUACGCUAAUACCGCAUACGACCUACGGGUGAAAGCAGGGGAUCUUCGGACCUUGCGCGAUUGAAUGAGCCGAUGUCGGAUUAGCUAGUUGGCGGGGUAAAGGCCCACCAAGGCGACGAUCCGUAGCUGGUCUGAGAGGAUGAUCAGCCACACUGGAACUGAGACACGGUCCAGACUCCUACGGGAGGCAGCAGUGGGGAAUAUUGGACAAUGGGCGCAAGCCUGAUCCAGCCAUACCGCGUGGGUGAAGAAGGCCUUCGGGUUGUAAAGCCCUUUUGUUGGGAAAGAAAAGCAGCAGGUUAAUACCCCGCUGUUCUGACGGUACCCAAAGAAUAAGCACCGGCUAACUUCGCG